rnacentral:rRNA from 1 species
UGGGGAAUUUUGGACAAUGGGGGAAACCCUGAUCCAGCCAUCCCGCGUGUGCGAUGAAGGCCUUCGGGUUGUAAAGCACUUUUGGCAGGAAAGAAACGUCAUGGGUUAAUACCCCGUGAAACUGACGGUACCUGCAGAAUAAGCACCGGCUAACUACGUGCCAGCAGCCGCGGUAAUACGUAGGGUGCAAGCGUUAAUCGGAAUUACUGGGCGUAAAGCGUGCGCAGGCGGUUCGGAAAGAAAGAUGUGAAAUCCCAGAGCUCAACUUUGGAACUGCAUUUUUAACUAACGGGCUAGAGUGUGUCAGAGGGAGGUGGAAUUCCGCGUGUAGCAGUGAAAUGCGUAGAUAUGCGGAGGAACACCGAUGGCGAAGGCAGCCUCCUGGGAUAACACGGACGCUCAUGCACGAAAGCGUGGGGAGCAAACAGG